AUGGUUGGUGGCAGGCUGGCUGCUGUGGUGUCCAGGCUCAGCAUCCCUCUGGGGUGGGACAUACAUGUUCGAUGGGUGGGGAUGUGUUGUGCUCAUGACAGAGCCCCCAGCUCCCACCCUUUUCAUCCCAUCUCACCCUUCCUGGCUGGGAGGAGACCAUUCUUUGACCUCUUGAUGAAGAUGAGGGCUCUGGGAACCCGAAUGGUCUCAGGUGCUGGAAAUGAGCUGGUGGGAUCUGCUGGUGGGAGGGUGGGGACUGGAAUCAGCUGUGCUUUCUGGGCUGUCUCGGAGCUGGCAGUGAUGCACCAGCCCUGGCUGCCGCACUCAGAGGAGCCUGACCCCGUCAGACCCGGGCUCCCUGCUGCUGUGCCAUCCGCUGACGCUGUUUGGUGGCCUUGGGUCAAGCCAAGUUUUUCCACCAAAAUUUGACAGAGCCAAGAGCCUGAAGAUGCUUCUGCUGUCCUGCACAUGCUCAGUGACCUGAAGGGGAUCUAGACAAGUCUCUCCUUAGCAGUUCCCAAGCUAUUCUUUCUCUCAUGUAAGUGCUCUUAAAAUAAUGAUCUGAUCCUAAGUGGCUGGAGAAGUUCAGCUUUGAGACUGAUGUUUGGCCUCAUCUUUUUCCUUUCUUUCAGGCCUUGCUGCUCCCAGAAGAAAGGGCAGCUCUUGGAGGACACUAGUCCUGAGAAAGCCUGUUGGAUCACCACAGCCCACUUGACUUCUCCAAUCCCAAAUUCUUCUGCUUUUAACAUAGGCAGUAGGCUGGCAGCUGGCACUUGUGAGAGCUGAGGAGGUGAGUUCAUGGGAAGAGAACAGCUUUCAGUUUCAGUGCUUGGGGACCAGCUGGUGUUUAACUGGAAUCUUGAAUGAUUUUUGAUGUAGGUGAGAAGGGACUGUCCUAGGGAACAAUGGCUUGGGAAUGUGUGGCCCAGUGGGAUGUGAUUUGCCUUUCUGGGCAUAACUGAGCCUCAUCUGGUGUCCUGACUUCAUACAGGUUCCUGUCUGGAGAGAAGUGCCCAACCCAUUAGUUAGUCUGGGCCCUGGAUUUUACCGAUAGCCUUUUUAAUGAUAGACAGGACUUUUAGUUAGCUCUUUCUCUCCUGUUGUCUUGAACUCAGUGGCCGUCUUUUUAGAAUGUAUCUCCUGUGUCCCCGUUUCUAGACUUGUCCCAUGUAUCACUGCAGAUCUGUUUGGGAUUCAGCUUAGCCAAGACCAUCACUAUUAUGGGCUUGAUUUUCUAGUCCCACCCCUUGCCUUGAUCUCAGGGUGGAUCGUGAGGAAAAUAGAGCAUCUUGCAGAUGAUUUAAUUUUUGAAGGGAUUUGAGUUCUCUGGAAAAAUUCCCUGGAGAGAUGCUCAGCUUAAUCAUGAUUAAGGCCAACAAAAAUCUGGUAGCUGAUCCUCUGAGUGAAGAGGGGCUGUGUUUGAUCAGUAGAUGAACCUGGGUUGUCUACUGGGAAUUUAGAGGGAUUUUUUUAGGCCUUAUUCAGUUUGUUUUAACUGCCUGGGCAGCACUACACUGGCCAGACCUCCUGGGUGAGACACUGGUAUUCAUGAAGAUGCCUUUAACCGGAGAAGGCUUCAUCUUUUCCACAAGGUGUCAUGGUUUUCUCUUUAAUAUCCUAGGGAUUGUUUUCAGGCUGAGACAUGUGAGAAAAGAAGAGGCUGAUAAUACAGAUGGAACAGAAGAAAAUGUCAAGUGAUUAAACAGCUGUACAUGAAUGCAGAUGCAGCUUAAGAGAUUGACUGUCGCCUGCUGGAUAGAGAGAUGGAAAGAAAAAUUGCAUUCACCUGCAUCAGGAUUGCAAAUCCCACCCCUCUGCCUGCAUAUUUUAAAUUGCAUUUGUUACUUCUUUUUAGCCUUCCCAUGUGUAAACUUUCACAGAGCUCUGUACUGCACCUUUAUAGCCCUAGUUGGAAUUUUUACUUUCCAGAGUCUCUGGUCUGUUUUUUCUGGGGGGGGAAGAAGUCUUAUAAAAUAAAACGUAUGCAGUCAAAUGAACUGUUUGCCA
ensembl:lncRNA